UCCGCCAAGUUCCCAUUUCCCGGAAGUCAUCUCCUUCGUGGCGGUUGACGCGCCUUCGGUUUGCUGCCGAAGCAUUUGAUGAAAUGCUAUCGUCCUUCUGCCGGACAAGUGCUGGAACUGAAGAUGCAACUUGGAGGCGAUUCGUUCGGCCUCCGGGCCCAAUGGGCUACCGCAAAAUGGCUUUCGGAUCGCUCUUUCAGGAUGCCCCAGGCUCUUGAAUUCCGCCCUCCUCUCCCGGCCGCUUCUCCCCCUGCCAGUCUUUUCCCUCUGCUUGCUCCUGGCGGAUGAGAUCGGGGUUUGGGACUGGCCGGGGACGGCUUCGCGGGACGUUUCCUGCUCCUUUCCUUUUAACUCCCGCGAUCCGGGAGGUGCACGUCCGAGCCGCCCGGCGACUCGGCGCCGUGGGUCAUCCCUUUCGGAUCUCUUCGGUUAGAUCUGCGAAAUGGCGGAGGCGGACGGGGCCCCGUCCGCUCGCAAAGUUCAAACGAAAAUAGUUCCGGAACGCGCCGAUAUUUGUUUAUCCCGGCUGUGCCGGAGGCUCUACGGGGGCCGGGGAACGGAAGGAGCUGGCGGAAGAGGGAGAACGGUACCAUUUUCUCCGGAAAUUUCCUCCGGAGUCCAGGAUGAAGAGCAACAGCUGGCCCCGCUGCUUCACGAUACUUGGCUGCCGGAUAACAACGGAGAAAGGAAAUGUUGCCGGUCAAAGGGGAUCUCCUUUUACGGGAACGUGGCGGACCUCUUGCCCGAGGCCGUUCUCUCCCACCGCUUAGUCCAGUGCUCCUGCCGAUAGAAGGUUUUCGACUCCCUCCCUCGCGCCAGCUUUGCCGACGAGUUGGCCGCCAUAGCAUUGAGCCUGCGGUAAUGCUGACGCCGUGGCUAGAAUUCCGUAACGACGGUCCUGGGAUGUCAGCGGAGGAGGAGGGCUGGAGCCCACGGGCUUUGAGAAUUAAUUUCGGAAACAUCUUCUGGUCGGCGAUCUAGUGGAGUUGUUUCUGGCGUGUGCGACAGUGCGAACUAGUGGACUCGGGAAAGAAAGCUCAAGCGCAAAUCCGGCGUGGAGAAAUACCAGCUGCGUCCAAGAUGAG
rnacentral:lncRNA from 1 species